CCUGACGCAGCGACGCCGCGUGGAGGAUGAAGGCCUUCGGGUCGUAAACUCCUGUCGAGAGGGACGAAAGCCGGAGCGGCGAACAGUCGCCCCCGGUUGACGGUACCUCCAGAGGAAGCCCCGGCUAACUCCGUGCCAGCAGCCGCGGUAAUACGGAGGGGGCCAGCGUUGUUCGGAAUUACUGGGCGUAAAGGGCGCGUAGGCGGCCGCGCAAGUCGGUUGUGAAAUCCCUCGGCUCAACCGAGGAACUGCGUCCGAAACUGCGCGGCUCGAGUCCCGGAGAGGGUAGCGGAAUUCCCAGUGUAGCGGUGAAAUGCGUAGAUAUUGGGAGGAACACCAGUGGCGAAGGCGGCUACCUGGACGGGUACUGACGCUGAGGCGCGAAAGCUAGGGGAGCAAACAGGAUUAGAUACCCUGGUAGUCCUAGCUGUAAACGAUGGGCACUUGGUGUUGCGGGUAUCGACCCCCGCAGUGCCGAAGCCAACGCAUUAAGUGCCCCGCCUGAGGAGUACGGUCGCAAGGCUG
rnacentral:rRNA from 1 species